UCCUCCGGGACGCAGCAGUAGGGAAUUUUCGUCAAUGGGCGCAAGCCUGAACGAGCAAUGCCGCGUGCCCGAGUCCGUUCUUCGGAUCGUAAAGUUCUGUUGAAGGGGAAAAAGAGCGGAGAGAGGAAAUGAACUCCGAUUGAUAUUACCCUUCGAGGAAGUCACGGCUAACUACGUGCCAGCAGCCGCGGUAAUACGUAGGUGGCGAGCGUUAUCCGGAAUGAUUGGGCGUAAAGGGUGCGUAGGCGGCCUGCUAAGUCUGGAGUGAAAGGUACCGGCUCAACCGGUACAGGCUCUGGAAACUG
rnacentral:rRNA from 1 species